rnacentral:rRNA from 1 species
GGCGGACGGGUGAGUAACGCGUAAGAACUUGCCCUUGGGAGGGGGACAACAACUGGAAACGGCUGCUAAUACCCCGUAAGCUGAGGAGCAAAAGGGAGGGAUCCGCCCAAGGAGGGGCUUGCGUCUGAUUAGCUGGUUGGUGAGGCAAUGGCUUACCAAGGCGACGAUCAGUAGCUGGUCUGAUAGGAUGAUCAGCCACACUGGGACUGAGACACGGCCCAGACUCCUACGGGAGGCAGCAGUGGGGAAUCUUCCGCAAUGGGCGAAAGCCUGACGGAGCAAUGCCGCGUGGAGGCAGAAGGCCCACGGGUCGUAAACUCCUUUUCUCGGAGAAGAAGCAAUGACGGUAUCCGAGGAAUAAGCAUCGGCUAACUCUGUGCCAGCAGCCGCGGUAAGACAGGGGAUGCAAGCGUUAUCCGGAAUGAUUGGGCGUAAAGCGUCUGUAGGUGGCUCCUUAAGUCCGCUGUCAAAUCCCAGGGCUCAACCCUGGACAGGCGGUGGAAACUACUAAGCUGGAGUACGGUAGGGGCAGAGGGAAUUUCCGGUGGAGCGGUGAAAUGCGUAGAGAUCGGAAAGAACACCAAAGGCGAAGGCACUCUGCUGGGCCGAC